AUUGAACGCUGGCGGCAGGCCUAACACAUGCAAGUCGAACGGUAACAGGAAGCAGCUUGCUGCUUCGCUGACGAGUGGCGGACGGGUGAGUAAUGUCUGGGAAGCUGCCUGAUGGAGGGGGAUAACUACUGGAAACGGUAGCUAAUACCGCAUAAUGUCGCAAGACCAAAGAGGGGGACCUUCGGGCCUCUUGCCAUCGGAUGUGCCCAGAUGGGAUUAGCUUGUUGGUGGGGUAACGGCUCACCAAGGCGACGAUCCCUAGCUGGUCUGAGAGGAUGACCCGCCACCCUGGGACUGAGACACGGUCCCGACUCCUCCGGGAGGCAGCAGUGGGGAAUAUUGCACAAUGGGCGCAAGCCUGAUGCAGCCAUGCCGCGUGUAUGAAGAAGGCCUUCGGGUUGUAAAGUACUUUCAGCGGGGAGGAAGGGAGUAAAGUUAAUACCUUUGCUCAUUGACGUUACCCGCAGAAGAAGCACCGGCUAACUCCGUG
rnacentral:rRNA from 1 species